rnacentral:rRNA from 1 species
CAGUCGUACCUGCGGGUAAUCAGCCUUUUGGGCAUGAUUCUGUGGAGCGUGAGGAGUUAAACGCGUUCAUGCCUGCAUAUUCGUGUACUUUGGGUGUACUUGCGGGUGUGGUUAGUUAACAUCAAUUUCGGUUAUCAUAAAAUGGUUGGAGGAAUGUAGCUUCGAUUUCGAUUGAAGUGUUAUAGCUUUUGGCAGAUGUGAUGAUCGGGAUUGAGGAUUGCAACGGAUACCCUUCGGGGAUACCUGUAUGGUCUACGAUCGAGGUUUUGGUGCCGGGAGCGUGCUUACGGUUAUCAAAGUCGAUGGUCACAAGGUUAGAAGGGGUUAAC